rnacentral:rRNA from 1 species
CCUACGGGUGGCAGCAGUCGAGAAUCAUUCACAAUGGGGGAAACCCUGAUGGUGCGACGCCGCGUGGGGGAAUGAAGGUCUUCGGAUUGUAAACCCCUGUCAUGUGGGGGCAAAUUAAAAAGAUAGUACCCCAAGAGGAAGAGACUGCUCACUCUGUGCCAGCAGCCGCGGUAAUACAGAGGGCGCAAGCGUUGUUCGGAAUCACUGGGCGUAAAGCGUGCGUAGGCGGUUUCGUAAGUCGUGUGUGAAAGGCGCGGGCUCAACCCGCGGACGGCACAUGAUACUGCGAGACUAGAGUAAUGGAGGGGGGACCAGAAUUCUCGGUGUAGCAGUGAAAUGCGUAGAUAUCGGGAGGAACACUCGUGGCGAAGGCGGGUUCCUGGACAUUAACUGACGCUGAGGUACGAAGGCCAGGGGAGCGAAAGGGAUUAGAUACCCUAGUAGUC